GAGGGUAUGGCUCAAAUGGUAGAGCGCAUGCUUAGCAUGCAUGAGGUCCUGGGUUCAAUCCCCAGUACCUCCU
rnacentral:tRNA from 1 species